rnacentral:rRNA from 1 species
GAUGAACGCUGGCGGCGUGCCUAAUACAUGCAAGUCGAGCGAACAGAUAAGGAGCUUGCUCCUUUGACGUUAGCGGCGGACGGGUGAGUAACACGUGGGUAACCUACCUAUAAGACUGGAAUAACUCCGGGAAACCGGGGCUAAUGCCGGAUAACAUUUAGAACCGCAUGGUUCUAAAGUGAAAGAUGGUUUUGCUAUCACUUAUAGAUGGACCCGCGCCGUAUUAGCUAGUUGGUAAGGUAACGGCUUACCAAGGCAACGAUACGUAGCCGACCUGAGAGGGUGAUCGGCCACACUGGAACUGAGACACGGUCCAGACUCCUACGGGAGGCAGCAGUAGGGAAUCUUCCGCAAUGGGCGAAAGCCUGACGGAGCAACGCCGCGUGAUUGAUGAAGGUCUUCGGAUCGUAAAACUCUGUUAUUAGGGAAGAACAAAUGUGUAAGUAACUGUGCACGUCUUGACGGUACCUAAUCAGAAAGCCACGGCUAACUACGUG